UACGUAGGGUGCGAGCGUUGUCCGGAAUUACUGGGCGUAAAGAGCUUGUAGGUGGUUUGUCGCGUUGUUCGUGAAAUCUCACGGCUUAACUGUGAGCGUGCGGGCGAUACGGGCAGGACUAGAGUACUGCAGGGGAGACUGGAAUUCCUGGUGGUAGCGGUGGAAAUGCGCAGAUAUCAGGAGGAACACCAGUGGCGAAGGCGGUGCUCUGGGCCGGAAACUGGACGCUGAGGAGCGAAAGCGUGGGGAGCGAACAGGA
rnacentral:rRNA from 1 species